ACCCAGCAACAGGAACACGCUCCAGUUUCGAUUGCGUUGUGGCUGAUUGGGAAUACCAUCCCUUUGGCACCGUAGCACAAAAAAGGCAGGUGGUUUAAGGGUCUCAGUCUGCAAUCUGGCUCCUGUCAGGAAAAGACCGGACAAGGGCUGGCGGCUGCAUCAUGAGAGGGUUUGAUCUGCUUUUCCGAAGGGAGAAGAACGCUUCUGGUUUGCUUAAAACCAAAGCCAGAAGAGAUGGCAGGAGUGAAGCCAACAGCUGAGGUUGAAAACUGGGAGGAAGGAGAGCAGAUGCAGGCGUCUUUCAGCCCGGCCACUCAGUCACCGUCUGCAGCCCCUGGGGACGAGCCACCCCCUGAUGCGAGCCCGUGAGGAGCUGCCCGACGGAAAGGUGGGAGCAGCACUGCACCAGACAUCUCUGGUGCCUGCCGGAGGCAGGCCUUGGGCAGGGAAAAACAGCCCCGAGGGCAAGGCAGAGCCCUCCGUCAUGCCCAUUUACCGCUUCGGGCGUUUCAGCUACACAGACAUCUAGGCUACAGCCUGUGCAUCAAGGAAAAGAGGAAUAAUUUUUGCAUACGCUCUUGCCAGCACCUGACGCACAGACCUUUCCAGCAGCAGGACUCAGCCCUGGCUGACAGCUCGCUGGCUUAUUUUGAAACAGGGAUGAAGAUGAAGCCACCUGUAGUGUCAUAGCAACCCUCCCCAGCGGCUGUCCUCUCCCAGUUCAAACCGAAGCCACCUCACUGGCUGACAGAUCAGCUUCCUAAUCAUCUGCCUCGGCGUCAGACGAUGUAGGAAGCGCCCACCCGGCCCCGCUCUUCCUCCCGCCCGCCGU